ACGCUGGCGGCGUGCCUAACACAUGCAAGUCGAACGAGGUCCAUGCAGUGGCAACACUGCGGAAGACCUAGUGGCGAACGGGUGAGUAACACGUGAGGAACCUGCCCCGAAGACCGGGAUAACCCUCCGAAAGGAGAGCUAAUACCGGAUACCCCCACCUGGUCGCAUGGCCGGGUGAGGAAAUGGAUUCCGCUUCGGGAGGGCCUCGCGGCCUAUCAGCUAGUUGGUGAGGUAACGGCUCACCAAGGCAUCGACGGGUAGCUGGUCUGAGAGGACGAUCAGCCACACUGGGACUGAGACACGGCCCAGACUCCUACGGGAGGCAGCAGUGGGGAAUCUUGCGCAAUGGGCGAAAGCCUGACGCAGCAACGCCGCGUGGGGGAUGAAGGCUCUCGGGUUGUAAACCCCUUUCAGCAGGGACGAAAUUGACGGUACCUGCAGAAGAAGCCCCGGCUAACUACGUGCCAGCAGCCGCGGUAACACGUAGGGGGCAAGCGUUGUCCGGAUUUAUUGGGC
rnacentral:rRNA from 1 species